rnacentral:rRNA from 1 species
UACGUAGGGGGCAAGCGUUGUCCGGAAUCAUUGGGCGUAAAGAGCGUGUAGGCGGCCAGAUAAGUCCGCUGUGAAAUCUCGAGGCUCAACUUCGAGCUGUCGGUGGAAACUGUCUGGCUAGAGUCCGGAAGAGGAGAAUGGAAUUCCUGGUGGAGCGGUGAAAUGCGCAGAUAUCAGGAAGAACACCCGUGGCGAAGGCGGUCUCUG